rnacentral:rRNA from 1 species
AGAGUUUGAUCCUGGCUCAGGAUGAACGCUGGCGGUAUGCCUAACACAUGCAAGUCGAACGGGAAUCUCCGGAUUCUAGUGGCGGACGGGUGAGUAACGCGUGAGAAUCUGGCUUCAGGACGGGGACAACAGUUAGAAAUGACUGCUAAUACCGGAUAAGCCGAGAGGUAAAAGAUUUAUCGCCUGAAGAUGAGCUCGCGUCUGAUUAGCUAGUUGGGGGGGUAAGAGCCCACCAAGGCAACGAUCAGUAGCUGGUCUGAGAGGAUGAGCAGCCACACUGGGACUGGGACACGGCCCAGACUCCUACGGGAGGCAGCAGUGGGGAAUUUUCCGCAAUGGGCGCAAGCCUGACGGAGCAAUACCGCGUGAGGGAAGAAGGCUUUUGGGUUGUAAACCUCUUUUCUCAGGGAAGAAGCAAUGACGGUACCUGAGGAAUCAGCAUCGGCUAACUCCGUGCCAGCAGCCGCGGUAAUACGGAGGAUGCAAGCGUUAUCCGGAAUUAUUGGGCGUAAAGCGUCCGUAGGUGGCUAGUCAAGUCUGCGGUCAAAGACAGAAGCUAAACUUCUGGAAGGCCGUGGAAACGGGCAAGCUAGAGUACGGUAGGGGUAGAGGGAAUUCCCAGUGUAGCGGUGAAAUGCGUAGAGAUUGGGAAGAACACCAGUGGCGAAAGCGCUCUACUGGGCCUGUACCGACACUGAGGGACGAAAGCUAGGGGAGCGAAAGGGAUUAGAUACCCUGGUAGUCCACGCAGUAAACGGUGAACACUAGGUGUAGUGGGUAUUGACCCCUGCUGUGCCGCAGUUAACGCAUUAAGUGUUCCGCCUGGGGAGUACGGCCGCAAGGUUAAAACUCAAAGGAAUUGACGGGGGCCCGCACAAGCGGUGGAGCAUGUGGUUUAAUUCGACGCAACGCGAAGAACCUUACCUGGAUUUGACAUCCCGGGAAUCCCGCGGAAACACGGGAGUGCCCUUCGGGGAGCCCGGUGACAGGUGCUGCAUGGCUGUCGUCAGCUCGUGUCGUGAGAUGUUGGGUUAAGUCCCGCAACGAGCGCAACCCCUAUCUUUAGUUACCAUCAUUCAGUUGGGGACUCUAAAGAUACUGCCCCGGUUAACGGGGAGGAAGGUGGGGAUGACGUCAAGUCCUCAUGGCCUUUAUGUCCAGGGCUACACACGUGCUACAAUGGGCUGUACAAAGGGUUGCGAGCCUGCGAAGGUGAGCUAAUCCCGUAAAGCAGCUCUCAGUUCGGAUUGGAGUCUGCAACUCGACUCCAUGAAGUUGGAAUCGCUAGUAAUCGUGGAUCAGCAUGCCACGGUGAAUACGUUCCCGGGCCUUGUACACACCGCCCGUCACACCAUGAGAGUUGGCUGUACCAGAAGUUGUUGGACCAACCCGUCGGGGAGGUAGGCACCUAAGGUAUGGCUGAUGAUUGGGGUGAAGUCGUAACAAGGUAGCCGUUGGGGUACCAGCGGCUGGAUCACCUCCUUA